rnacentral:tRNA from 1 species
AAUAAUGUGUCUGAUUAAAGUAAUAAAUUGUAAAUUUAUUUAAGGAAUUAAGUUUUAAAUUCUCAUUAUUA